UGGUGAAUCAUUUUCNGAGGACAGCCUAC
rnacentral:piRNA from 1 species